UGCUGGGUGGCUCAGUUGGUAGAGCAGGUGCACCAGAUGCAGAGGCUAUAGUCCUCAUUACGGGUGUCCUGGGUUCGAUUCCUUGUCAGGCCA